rfam:Myotis lucifugus cont2.51244, whole genome shotgun sequence.
GGCGGUUCUUGGGUGAUGCACCCUGGAAUCGGGCUCCUUCCUCUCUGGUUCCGGGUGUGUCACCCAAGAACCACA